rnacentral:rRNA from 1 species
GACGAACGCUGGCGGCGUGCUUAACACAUGCAAGUCGAACGGAAAGGCCCUGCUUUUGUGGGGUGCUCGAGUGGCGAACGGGUGAGUAACACGUGAGUAACCUGCCCUUGACUUUGGUAUAACUUCAGGAAACUGGGGCUAAUACCGGAUAGGAGCUCCUGCUGCAUGGUGGGCGUUGGAAAGUUUCGGCGGUUGGGGAUGGACUCGCGGCUUAUCAGCUUGUUGGUGGGGUAGUGGCUUACCAAGGCUUUGACGGGUAGCCGGCCUGAGAGGGUGACCGGCCACAUUGGGACUGAGAUACGGCCCAGACUCCUACGGGAGGCAGCAGUGGGGAAUAUUGCACAAUGGGCGGAAGCCUGAGGCAGCAACGCCGCGUGCGGGAUGACGGCCUUCGGGUUGUAAACCGCUUUCGCCUGUGACGAAGCGUGAGUGACGGUAAUGGGUAAAGAAGCACCGGCUAACUACGUG